rnacentral:rRNA from 1 species
GAUGAACGCUGGCGGCGUGCCUAAUACAUGCAAGUCGAGCGAACGGACGAGAAGCUUGCUUCUCUGAUGUUAGCGGCGGACGGGUGAGUAACACGUGGAUAACCUACCUAUAAGACUGGGAUAACUUCGGGAAACCGUAGCUAAUACCGGAUAAUAUUUUGAACCGCAUGGUUCAAAAGUGAAAGACGGUCUUGCUGUCACUUAUAGAUGGAUCCGCGCUGCAUUAGCUAGUUGGUAAGGUAACGGCUUACCAAGGCAACGAUGCAUAGCCGACCUGAGAGUGUGAUCGGCCACACUGGAACUGAGACACGGUCCAGACUCCUACGGGAGGUAGCAGUAGGGAAUCUUCCGAAAUGGGCGAAAGCCUGACGGAGCAACGCCGCGUGAGUGAUGAAGGUCUUCGGAUCGUAAAACUCUGUUAUUAGGGAAGAACAUAUGUGUAAGUAACUGUGCACAUCUUGACGGUACCUAAUCAGAAAGCCACGGCUAACUACGUG